rnacentral:rRNA from 1 species
GACGUAGGGGGCAAGCGUUGUCCGGAAUCAUUGGGCGUAAAGCGCUCGUAGGUGGAUCGGUAAGUCUGCAAUGAAAGACCCGGGCUCAACUCGGGGAACGGUGUGGAUACUACCGAUCUUGAGGCAAUCAGAGGAUGAUGGAAUUCCCGGUGUAGCGGUGAAAUGCGUAGAUAUCGGGAGGAACAUCAGUGGCGAAGGCGGCUGCCUGGCCCAAUACUGACACUCAGGUGCGACAGCGUGGGGAGCAAACAGG